GCCGCGGUGGUGGAAUGGUAUACACGAAGGCCUUAAGAGCCUUUGUCUUCAAAAGACGUGAGCGUUCGAGUCGCUCCCGCGGCA
rnacentral:tRNA from 1 species